CUAUUCGCGCCAGGUCCUGGUGCGAACUGCCCUCCCAGGUAACUAUUCGCACCAGGUGGUAGGGGUGCAUUUGAAGCACGUGUUGGCGCACCUGGUGCGAAUAAUUUUGCACAGGUAUCUGUUCGCGCCAUAUUUGAGAGGGGAACUAGAUACGAUGACGUCAUAACAUUAUUCGUGAAAUGAGGAACGUUCAGCUUCCUUUUGGCGGUGAAUUUUUACAAAAUGGCGGACAAACGCAAACGGCGUAGUUACGCUCCUCGCUUUCCCAGGUCAAAAUCAGCCUUUUCAGGGUGGCAAUCGCGCCUAAAGCGACCUGAAUAAGUGUCAUCGCAUAAGAGUCGGAUAGGGUGUACACGAGAAAGAUUCCUGAGAGCUGAACGACGCCAAGGUCAAUGGGCAGGCGCCGCUAUGAAAAUUUUUGCGGAGCAGAGAUACGCAGUGGCUGAUGGGCAGGCGCCGCUAUGAAAAUUUUCCGGAGCAGAGCUACGCAAUGACUGAUGGGCAGGCGCUGCUAUGUAAAUUCUCCGGAGCAGAGAUACGCAGUGGCUGAUGGGCAGGCGUUCCCAUGGAGUCACCUGAGAGGUGUUGCACCCUGGCUGCGAGUGCUGGCGCCGCCGUGGGUGAUGGGCAGGCGCCGCUAUGAAAAUUUUCCGGAGCAGAGGUACGCAAUGACUGAUGGGCAGGCGCUGCUAUGUAAAUUCUCCGGAGCAGAGAUACGCAGUGGCUGAUGGGCAGGCGUUCCCAUUGAGUCUUCUGAGAGGUGUUGUACCCUGGCCGCGAGUGCUGGCGCCGCCGUGGGUGAUGGGCAGGCGCCGCUAUGAAAAAUUUCCGGAGCAGAGCUACGCAGUGACUGAUGGGCAGGCGCCGCCAUGGAGUCACCUGAGAGGAGGCCGACGCUUUUCCCAUCCGCAGGCGCUGCCAUCCAGAUGGCUUGAGUGAAAGCGACCCUGGCUCAAGUGGCAAUCACCUUGCCACCAUUGAGUCUUCUGAGAGGUGUUGUACCCUGGCCGCGAGUGCUGGCGCCGCCGUGGGUGAUGGGCAGGCGCCGCUAUGAAAAAUUUCCGGAGCAGAGCUACGCAGUGACUGAUGGGCAGGCGCCGCCAUGGAGUCACCUGAGAGGAGGCCGACGCUUUUCCCAUCCGCAGGCGCUGCCAUCCAGAUGGCUUGAGUGAAAGCGACCCUGGCUCAAGUGGCAAUCACCGUAAUGCAGUUGAAUUAUAUUUUUCUUCCAUUCAUUCGUGAAUUAAAUCUUUGAAACCAUUUAUAAUAAUUUAUUUGUCAGUGCAGUUGCCACCAUUGAGUCUUCUGAGAGGUGUUGUACCCUGGCUGCGAGUGCUGGCGCCGCCGUGGGUGAUGGGCAGGCGCCGCUAUGAAAAUUUUCCGGAGCAGAGCUACGCAGUGACUAAUGGGCAGGCGCCGUUGUGCUGAUCAUCCUAGUUGAUAGACACUUUGAGUGAUAGCCUGGCGCCUCAAUGCAGAGCGACGCCGUGCUUGUUCACCUGGCAUCGCAAAACGCAGUGGAAAUAGACGCACCAUCAAAGUCAUCCAAGUAUUGUGCUAUUUUUAAAUUUCCUAUCACCGAAUUAAAAUUGUAAAUAGGAUAUAAUUUUUUAGUUAGCUGUGAUUGAGUUAUUUGUCAGGUUAGCUUCUGUUUUUACGGAUAUAUUUUUAGUUAUGAGGAGUUUGAAUGCUGUUCAAAUGCUGCUUUAGAUCGAAUAGUAUUACUUUAACUAAGUUUUGUUUUCAUUUUAGGUACCUCUUAUUUACACCAUAAUAAAAUUCUUGGGUUUAAAUGCAAACACUUUUGUUUAAUGAACUUCUCCAUACCUUAGUAAAAUUCAAAUCAGUUUGAAUUCCGUGUUGUCUCCACAUUGUAAUAUCAUCAAAAUAGUUUGGAAAAAUCAUUUAAUUUAGUUUAUUGAACAGAUUAGUAGCAGUCAAGCUGACAUCAGUAAUUCAAGUUAAGGCAGAGUUCAAUGGUCACAAUUCAUGCAAUGCCAAUCUUCCAUGUCUCUGAAAGUCAUGUUCAGGCUGUCAUCGUUUGCCUUGGGAUGACCGAUGCAAUCUGCAUGGUACCAAGUGGCACAGUUUUCACACUCAAGCAUUUUUAGUUUGAAAUUGGCUGGCAUUUUGCAAACGCAAUAGAGUGGUUCAUGAACAACAGCUUUGACAAAGUCUGAAACAUUUGGACCCUUCUUCGGUCUCGAGGGGAAAUCGAUAGGCUCGUUUUUUUGUAACAUUUUUACCAAGUUUUGUUUCAUCCCUUCAGUGAUGUAUGCUUUGUUGGGGUCAACAAACCCCUUAGUCAAUAAUUGGACCAGGUUUGCAAGAGCGUAGAGUCCGCUCAAUGUGAUGCUUGAGUUGGUGUCACACUUCAUAACAGUAAUAUUCAAUUCUUUCAAGGACUGCUCACAGCAAAUCUCCGCUAGUUGGAAUAGAAAUUCAUCCUCAAUUCUUUUUGGAUUUGCUACAGGUACUGAAUUGAACAACUCAAAAGUUGUCCCAUUAUAUCUGCAUAACAUCCAAUGUUCUUUGCAUCUUAAGAGCUGUAAGUACAUCUUGCCUGAUGAUGGGUGUUCAAUGUAUGGGAGCUUCUUGUCAUCUUUCUCGUCAAACUCGAAUUUAUGCAGUCCCUGGAUUUGGCUGUAUUUUGUUUUCAGCAUUUCCAGCGACGAGUUGAUCAAUUGGAUCGGAAGUCGUCCUUCUGGCUCCGAAAAUUCGUAAAUUUCUCGUUGUUGAAGAUUGUACUUUGGCUUCGCUAGUUCUUUGUUCAUAUGCUCUAGAAAAUAUUGAUAACAAAAUAGUCAAAACGUCUGCCCUUUUAUAAAUAAAGGUUAUAUACCUUUGCGCUGUAGUUCACUUGAAAGUUGCUCAAGAGGUUGAGAUUUUACUUUUUGAUUUUUUGGCCUUCCUCUUACUUUUGGUUUGGAGAUUCCAGUUGUCGAUGGUUGGCUCAAUGUUUGUAGGUAUGAACCUGCUGCAACAAAACAUUUAGAAAUAAUUUGGUAUUGGGAGAUUUUUAGUAUUUUUGUUUUUCGACUUACCUUCGACAACUUCGAUUUCUGUACCUCUUUGCAUGCCAGCUGUCAAAUCCAAUAUGUUUGUAGUUGUGGCCUUAUCUGAUUCAAAAUUAAUUGAAAAAUAAUUAUAUGCUGCAGAUAAUUUCCACUGUUAUUUUUUUAUAUACCUUGAGGUUCAGCAGCUGCUCUCGGAAAACGCUGAAUCAGCUGUUGGCCAUAAGUUUGCUCCAAUAUGUCAUCAAAUUCUUUGGCUGCGUUUUAAAUUAUUAAAAAGCCAACAGUUUUGAAUAUUUAAUAUUACCUGCUUGAUGUUGGUUCUCCUCCGAUUCCAAAUCAUGACCAGGUGUUUUCUCGGUUUUCUCUGUGUAUUUGAUAGGCGUACUUGUUGUUGGCAUAUCGGGACUCACUGCAAAUAACGCAAUAAAUAGUAUUUGAUUCAUUUACCACCAAAAGUUUUUGUCAAACUUGUAGAAAGGUUAAAUAAAUAAAAAUACCUUCAAAAAUAUCAGAAAGGGUCUCAUCGUGCACGAUGUUAGUCACCUGUUGGUUUGCAUCUCCUAAAAAUUCAUGAAAGCAUUUUAAUGGACCAGCUAAAAUUGUAUAGUCAAAUAUAAACAGUUUAAGAGUAUCAAAGAUGGACAAUAUUUUUUGUGUAAAAAUAUUUUAAGUCUUCUAAAAUUGAGAAUUAUGGAUUGUGUGGCUUAAGUAAUAUUUUAUA